rnacentral:rRNA from 1 species
GACGUAGGGCGCGAGCGUUGUCCGGAUUUAUUGGGCGUAAAGAGCUCGUAGGCGGCUUGUCGCGUCGACUGUGAAAACCCGCGGCUCAACUGCGGGCCUGCAGCCGAUACGGGCAGGCUAGAGUUCGGUAGGGGAGACUGGAAUUCCUGGUGUAGCGGUGAAAUGCGUAGAGAUGUGGAGGAACACCAGUGGCGAAGGCGGCGUUCUGGACUGCAACUGACACUGAGGAACGAAAGCCAGGGGAGCAAACGGG